GAGCUCCCAACAAAACGGUUCCAUCUUUGGCUAGGCCUUUGGUAUUUCAAGGCGCUGCCGGUGGGGAGAGAUGCCGCGUGCCUGAGAGGCUCUGGGAGGCACCAAAGAAGGCCCAGAGAGGUUUAACAACUUCCUCAGAAUCACACAGCUUCCAAAUGGUUGGGUUGGGUUUACAUUUAGGCGGUCUUGCUCCAGAGCCAGUGCUCCUAACCUUUGCAAGCCACGAACCUCAAGAAAGUGGAGAAGGAAACGCUGGGAAAUCUGGAAGUCAGACAUGAGAGCUAAUGCUGGCAGCUGUUGGGAUGUCCUCUUCCAGGAAUGGUGAUGAGUUUCCCUGGAUCCAGCCCUGGCUUGGCUGAGGGAUUAUUUUCAGACCUCAUGAAGCUGCUGGCUUAUAGAACAGGAGUCUUUCUGUUGGCAGCCAGGAGAGAUACAAGAGGGGGAGGACAGAUUCUGCAGCUCCAUUUCGUGAGCCAUCACCUGUCUUUGUCCCUUUUUUUUUCAGUAGGGUAUGUGGGAGCAAUAAGGCAAGGAAACCUCAAGGGUGGCCCUUGGUUACACAAAGUCUUAUAAAUGCUUCCAAAGCACAGAGGCUUCCUCCUUCUCAGGAUGCGGGCUGGAGAUGAAGUCCCCCAUUCCCUGCUCUUGCUCAGGCCAUUUUUACCAAGGUUCCCUCUCACACAGGUCCCUCACAGCUGGCCUCAUGGUGUGGGAAGGGGCCCAGACAGCUAAAGUCAGAUCUGGCCAGGCAAAGCCUUGAGGUCCCAGAAGGCCCUGCCCAGAGCCAGGUGUCCUCACAGUGAGGCCUUGGGCUUACAGACCUGAGUACUUCCCAUGGGAGAUACCUGGUCCCAGAGGUAACUCUUGAUAAGGGCUUAUGGAUUCUCCCUCUGGCUUUGAGCUGUGUUGCACCCGUAGGUGCUGAUUUACGUGAGGAUUAGGAAAAUGCUACACUUUGAGGUAGCCUUAGGGAGGGGCUAGACAUCUUUAUCACCUCUGAAGGUGGCUCAAGAAUCAGAGUAAGGGUUUGAACAGUAUUUCCACAGGUCAAGGGGCAACUCUCUUCCUUCCAAUCACCCCCACAGAUCUCUGUUUCACCUCAAAAUAAAUGCUGAACAAAAAUUUCAAGAAGAA
ensembl:lncRNA LINC02028 long intergenic non-protein coding RNA 2028